UACGACUUUAAUUGUAACUUUUUAACUAGUUACUUCCGGGAAAUCGAUCCUUUUUCGUACGGGAUAUUUUUCCAACGCGAUGAUUUAGAAAAUCGGAUACUCAACGUUACACAAAUGGCUUUUUGUUAAUACCUCCCUGCGUGUAGUUGUAACUGUAUAUAGAUAGUGGUAAAUACGAUUUCUCGGUGGUUUUUCGCGGUAGAAUUAUGUUUUUAUUUUUAUCCCAUGCCGCACGUUUUAUACCGGGGCAACCGUCCAAACGGAGGAUUAUGACGCCCGACGAUUUUCCGGCGGAAAAUUGACUGUCUCGAGUUCUUUUGCGAUAAACGUAGGUAUUAAAAACGCCUCCGAAAAUAUAUACACGAAAAUCUCGCGAAUAAAAAUAUUAUCGCCCGUCCUAAUAAUACGCAUUUAACCAGUGGUUACGGAUACGGAGGGGGAUUCUUAUUUAUGAUAAAAUUAAUCGUCCCGUUUAGCUUUAAUAUUUGACGC